UUUGAAGACCUUGAGUUGAUGGUUUGCAUCUUGAAACCCUAAUCAGGGAGCCUUGGUACUUAUGGGCCUUGUUAGCUUGACUUUUGAUCUUGGGAUUGACUGAAACCCUAAUUCAUUGGGAGCAAGUUCUUGACCAUCAUGUCAUGCAUCAUAAAUCAUUAAAUUGGCUUUGUGCAAAAGUAUCCAUUUUACCUACAUGCCUAUAUGCUUGGGAUUUCAUCUGGUUCAAGGCUUUGUU
rnacentral:lncRNA from 1 species